CAUGGCUUUUUGUUAUUAAUAUAAGGUCUGACCUGCCCAAUGAUAAUAUAUUAAAUGGCCGCGGUAUUUUGACCGUGCAAAGGUAGCAUAAUCAUUAGUUUUUUAAUUGAAAGCUUGUAUGAAAGGUUGAAUGAGAAAAUAACUGUCUUUGUGAUAUUUGAUUAGAAUUUUAUCUUUAAGUAAAAAAGCUUAAAUUUAAUUUAAAGACGAGAAGACCCUUUAGAGUUUUAUAAAAUUUCUGUUUUUGAUUUUUUAGAAUUAAUUAUAAUAAAGUAAGAUUUUAUUUGAUUGGGGUGAUUAGAAAAUUUAAAGAACUUUUUUUUUAUUUUACAUUAAUAUAUGAAUAUUUGAUCCAUAAAUUAUGAUUAUAAGAUUAAAUUACCUAAGGGAUAACAGCGUUAUUUUUUUUGAGAGUUCUUAUCGAAAAAAAAGAUUGCGACCUCGAUGUUGGAUUAAAAUUAAAUUAUGGUGUAGAGGCUUUAAC
rnacentral:rRNA from 1 species